rnacentral:rRNA from 1 species
AAGGUGGGGAUGACGUCAAGUCCUCAUGGCCUUUAUGACCCAGGGCUACACACGUACUACAAUGGCCGAUACAAAAGGGCAGCGACACUGCGAGGUGAAGCCAAUCCCGUAAAAUCGGUCUCAGUCCGGAUUGGAGUCUGCAACUCGACUCCAUGAAGUUGGAAUCGCUAGUAAUCGUGGAUCAGCAUGCCACGGUGAAUACGUUCCCGGGCCUU